GCUUCCGGCUGAUGCUGAUGAUCAGACUAUAGCGUGUCACGCACGUGCCCACAUGCUGCGAUUGAUAUGUGGGAUGCUGUUCUGCAACCUAUCGGGGAGUUACGCACACUUGAUGUUCCUUCCACUGCUCGCGGAGCGAGCAGAGAUACGCCAUUAUAGUUGGGGUGCUACAACGUUAGCUUGGCUGUACCAGGAGAUGUGCCGCGCCGCUAACGUGUCGCACUCACAGAUCGGAGGAGCACUCCGCUUAUUGCAGGUUUGGGCGUGGGAGAGAUUCACGUCGUUAGCUCCUACGCACCGCGGUGUCCGAUAUCUUAUUCAGAGGGAUGAGGACGGACGACCGAUUGACCCAGCUCCACUCGCGUGGAGGUGGAGGGAUCAGUUGUUGGUGCCUAAUGUUGCGCAACACACACUGUCCUGGUACAGAUUCAAGCUGGACAUGCACCGGGAGCACGAGCUACUCUUCGUUAUGUGUAUUUAGGGCUAUUUCAAGAUUUUCAUAUAUUCCCGUCCCACCUCUGACAUUUACUAUAUGUCUACGCGUAGUUCGUAUGGGCGCCCUACACGGAUGACAUUGUUGCCGACCUACCACCUGGUUAUGCAGUUGGGUCGGACCUCUGGGUUGCCUGAGUGCCACUCAUAUGUUUUCAUAUUGUCGAGUGGCAUCUCCCAGAUCGAGUGAUGCGCUAGUUUGGCUUUCGAUAGGGCAUUCCCGGUCGCUUCUGUACCUUGGGGGUCGAUGUACAUGGGGAGGACUUGCACGAGAUUGAUGGUCGCGGUCGGGGGAACACAGAUUGGGCAGCGGAGCACGCCAUGUACGUGAGUAUGUGGGUACAUAGGCGCGACUACAUUGUCGAGGGAGUCCGGGCAAAUGGCCCGAUGCGUCCGGAGGAUCCAUAUUACCCGUGGUACAGGUCGAUCACACGUCGCUUCGUAGAUAGGACUGCGGCGGUCUACAUGAGCCUCGCUGACGUAUUACACUAGGUGGACUCGCUAUCAUCAGACCCCGUUGUGAGCGAUUUAGCGAGAGUUGGUUUGGACAUUGUCUACGAGGACGGGCGACGGAUCCCUACGCCACGCCGGACGCCGGCCCCACGAGGUGGUCGAGCAGCUCCAGUACGAGGGGGUCGAGCAACUACCUCCAGCCGUCCAUCGAGUCCGACCUUCUCACCGCCCAUUGUACAUGAGGAGUAUAUGUUUGGGCCGUCCGCUGCUGAUUUUGCGGGACCCCCCAGUAGACCGGCGGAUUAUCGAUCUGACUCUGCCGCGACGCCAUCGAUGUCGUACUUACUAGACGACCCUCUCGAUGCGGAGGAGGUGGACGCACCCGGCUUGCCAGCUCGAACUCAUCCAGAGACUACAUACGACAUAGCUCCCCGUCGGCUUCACCUAAAGAGGGAUUAUCCAGUACGUAUGGGCAGAGACGACAGACAUGUAGCCCCUCGACGUGACCGGACGCCAGACGCGGAGGAGCAGCCAGGUGAGGGCAGACACAGACGGCAGCCACCCCGACACCGGAGACGACCUCCAUGCGGUACCGAGUAGCCCAUAUAUGUAGUUGUUAAUUAGUUCAUAAUUUGAUUUGUACAUCAGAUAUAUGUUUACAGCUUCAUUUGUACAUAAUGUAUUUAUUCAUGAUUCAUUUGGGCAUAAUGUAUUUAGUAAUGACUUCAUUUGUACAGCAUCUAUUUGUAUAGAAUAUAUCAUUUCUCCUUUAUUUCAACUUGUUUGGAGUAUCAUUUGUACAUAAUGUAAUUGUUUGGAGUAUCAUUUGUACAUAAUGUAAUU